GUACGAUUCGCAUUGCCCAUU
rnacentral:miRNA from 1 species